rnacentral:rRNA from 1 species
GAUGAACGCUGGCGGCGUGCCUAAUACAUGCAAGUCGAGCGAACAGAUGAGGAGCUUGCUCCUCUGACGUUAGCGGCGGACGGGUGAGUAACACGUGGAUAACCUACCUAUAAGACUGGGAUAACUUCGGGAAACCGGAGCUAAUACCGGAUAAUAUAUUGAACCGCAUGGUUCAAUAGUGAAAGACGGUUUUGCUGUCACUUAUAGAUGGAUCCGCGCCGCAUUAGCUAGUUGGUAAGGUAACGGCUUACCAAGGCAACGAUGCGUAGCCGACCUGAGAGGGUGAUCGGCCACACUGGAACUGAGACACGGUCCAGACUCCUACGGGAGGCAGCAGUAGGGAAUCUUCCGCAAUGGGCGAAAGCCUGACGGAGCAACGCCGCGUGAGUGAUGAAGGUCUUCGGAUCGUAAAACCCUGUUAUUAGGGAAGAACAAAUGUGUAAGUAACUAUGCACGUCUUGACGGUACCUAAUCAGAAAGCCACGGCUAACUACGUG